rnacentral:rRNA from 1 species
UACGGAGGGUGCGAGCGUUGUCCGGAAUCACUGGGCUUAAAGGGCGCGUAGGCGGCGGAUCAAGUCCGGGGUGAAAGCCCCAGCUCGAACUGGGGAAGCUGCCUUGGAUACUGAUUCGCUCGAGGGAGGUGAGGGGUCGCGGGAACUUCCGGUGGAGCGGUGAAAUGCGUUGAUAUCGGAAGGAACGCCGGUGGCGAAAGCGCGCGCUGGACCUCUUCUGACGCUGAGGCGCGAAA